CCGGUACAGAGAUGUACUUUCCCCUUCGGGGGCAGGGGUGACAGGUGGUGCAUGGUUGUCGUCAGCUCGUGUCGUGAGAUGUUGGGUUAAGUCCCGCAACGAGCGCAACCCUUGUCCUUAGUUGCCACCAUUCAGUUGGGCACUCUAAGGAGACUGCCGGUGACAAACCGGAGGAAGGUGGGGAUGACGUCAAAUCAUCAUGCCCCUUAUGAGUUGGGCUACACACGUGCUACAAUGGACGGUACAAAGGGCAGC
rnacentral:rRNA from 1 species